rfam:Planococcus rifietoensis strain M8, complete genome.
AUCACCUUUAAGAACAGUCCAGAGAGGCUGAAAAGGGAUAUUCGCAAAGCCGGAAGUGUGUCUUCUGGAAGGUUUUUUUCUGCGCUUAUGCACCCUUCGCCUCUUCGGCGGAGGGUUUUUUUCAU